rnacentral:rRNA from 1 species
AAACCAACAGGGAUUGCCCUAGUAACGGCGAGUGAAGCGGCAACAGCUCAAAUUUGAAAGCUGGCCUUCUGGUCCGCAUUGUAAUUUGCAGAGGAUGCUUUUGGCGCGGUGCCUUCCGAGUUCCCUGGAACGGGACGCCUUAGAGGGUGAGAGCCCCGUACGGUUGGACACUAAGCCUCUGUAAAGCUCCUUCGACGAGUCGAGUAGUUUGGGAAUGCUGCUCUAAAUGGGAGGUAAAUUUCUUCUAAAGCUAAAUACCGGCCAGAGACCGAUAGCGCACAAGUAGAGUGAUCGAAAGAUGAAAAGCACUUUGAAAAGAGGGUUAAACAGCACGUGAAAUUGUUGAAAGGGAAGCGUUUGCGACCAGACUUUUUCUAGGCGAAUCAUCCGGUGUUCUCACCGGUGCACUUCGUCUGGUUUAGGCCAGCAUCGGUUUCUGCAGGGGGAUAAAAGCCUGGGGAAAGUAGCUCUCUCGGGAGUGUUAUAGCCCCUAGCAUAAUACCCUUGCGGGGACCGAGGAUCGCGCUCUGCAAGGAUGCUGGCGUAAUGGUCGUCAACGAC